UACGUAGGGUGCAAGCGUUAAUCGGAAUUACUGGGCGUAAAGCGUGCGCAGGCGGUUCGCUAAGACAGAUGUGAAAUCCCCGGGCUUAACCUGGGAACUGCAUUUGUGACUGGCGGGCUAGAGUAUGGCAGAGGGGGGUAGAAUUCCACGUGUAGCAGUGAAAUGCGUAGAUAUGUGGAGGAACACCGAUGGCGAAGGCAGCCCCCUGGGUCAAAACUGACGCUCAUGCACGAAAGCGUGGGGAGCAAACAGG
rnacentral:rRNA from 1 species